GUAGUCCAGUGGUUAAGACACUGCGCUUCCAUUGCAGAGGGUGCAGGUUCAGUCCCUGCUACA
rnacentral:tRNA from 1 species